AAAACUUGAAUUUUCAAUGAACAAUUGAAUAAAAAAUGUCAAUUAUUAAGCAGAGCUCAAAUCUUAGAAUGUGGAGUUCCCUUCUGGCUUGUGUAGGAACUGUUUUAUUUCAGAAUAAAAAUUCUGCAAGACAGUUAAACAUUUUAAGAUAAAUUUUCUCCUUUACAUGAGUGAGCAAACUAUACAUUUUGCUUUUUGUGGGGUGCAUGAGUGUAAUGUGUUCUUGCAACGUCCAUUAAAAUAAGGUAGAGAAGACAGCACGCUUGUAUGCUCCUGACAAGCUUUUAAAACUAAACUCUACAUUGGUGGUAGGUGGAGAAAACAAUUACAUCUUGUGGAGUGAAUCACAAGUAAUUCUGGAGUUGUGGGUCAGACUGAAAUCCCAUGGAACUUGUAGCCUGCAAGUAACAAAUUGUAUUAAUGCCAAGGAAGCAGCUAUUUGUGCAGAAGUGCAAGAGAUCAACAGUGCUUGGCUGAUGCACCUUGCUAAAUAUCUUACAAGGUGUGGGGAUGUUCUGUGUUCCAGGCCAUUUCACCAGCUCCAUCUCCUGAUAAGCUUGCUAACAUCUGUUCUCAAGCUGACAUUUAUUUUAUUUCCUAUGCUAUCCUUGAGGUAAGUUCUUUUCUCUGGUCCCCACCGCAGCUCUCUUGUCUGAACUGCAGAUCUUUUCAGGGGUUUGCAUCCAUUGCAGGAAGUUUUGCACAACAAUUCUUCACUUUCUCACUUCAAACGUUACAGGAAAGGGAAUUAAGGAGGUUCUAGCAGAUUGUUUUCUGUUAUUGUUGCUGCUAUUCUUGCUUUUUUUUCCCUUCACAACUUUUUCAACGACUUAUAGCUGGGUUUUGG
rnacentral:lncRNA from 1 species